UGGUGGCCAUAGCGUCGGUGUCCCACCCGAUCCCAUCCCGAACUCGGCCGUGAAACCCGACUGCGCCAAUGGUACUACUGCUCAAGCAGUGGAAGAGUAGGGCGUCGCC
rnacentral:rRNA from 1 species